GGGGUUGGCGUUGCUGAGCUCUCCGGAAGGAGACGUGGCGGCUGUUGGGCACCGGGCUGCCUGGCCGCUUGGUAGUCCCGCCGCCUCCUCCUCCUCCUCCUCCUCCUCUUCCCUCUCCUCUCCACUGUGGGCCGAGGGGGUUGUGGCGGUGGCUGGAGAACUCGGCGGCGGAGGAUGGAGGAAGGAGGCGGCGGCGCGCGGAGUCUGGUCCCAGGUGGGCCGCUGUUACUGGUACUCUGCGGUCUCCUAGAGGCGUCCGGUGGCGGCCGAGCGCUCCCCCAGCUCAGCGAUGACAUCCCUUUCCGAGUCAACUGGCCCGGCACCGAGUUCUCUCUGCCUACAACUGGAGUUUUGUAUAAAGAAGAUAAUUAUGUCAUCAUGACAACUACACAUAAAGAAAAAUAUAAAUGCAUUCUUCCCCUUGUGACAAGUGGGGAUGAGGAAGAAGAAAAGGAUUAUAAAGGCCCAAAUCCAAGAGAGCUAUUGGAGCCACUAUUUAAACAGAGCAGUUGUUCCUACAGAAUUGAGUCUUAUUGGACUUACGAAGUAUGUCACGGAAAACACAUUCGGCAGUACCAUGAAGAGAAAGAAAGUGGUCAGAAAGUAAAUAUACACGAGUACUACCUUGGGAAUAUGUUGGCUAAGAACCUUCUAUCCGAAAAAGAACAAGAAGCAGAAGAAAAGGAAAAAUCAAAAGAGAUUCCCACUAAAAAUAUCGAAGGUCAGAUGACACCCUACUAUCCAGUGGGAAUGGGAAAUGGUACACCUUGUAGUUUGAAACAGAACCGGCCCAGAUCAAGUACUGUGAUGUACAUAUGUCAUCCUGAAUCUAAGCAUGAAAUUCUUUCAGUAGCUGAAGUUACAACUUGUGAAUAUGAAGUUGUCAUUUUGACACCACUCUUGUGCAGUCAUCCUAAAUAUAGAUUCAGAGCAUCUCCUGUGAAUGACAUAUUUUGCCAGUCACUACCAGGAUCACCAUUUAAACCCCUCACCCUGAGACAGUUGGAACAGCAGGAAGAAAUACUGAGGGUGCCUUUUAGGAGAAAUAAAGAGGAAGAUAUGCAAUCAACUAAGGAAGAGAGAUUUCCAGCAAUCCACAAACCCAUUGCUGUUGGUUCUCAGCCAAUGCUCACAGUUGGAACAACCCACAUAUCCAAAUUGACAGAUGACCAACUCAUAAAAGAGUUCCUUAGUGGUUCCUACUGCUUUCACGGGGGUGUUGGUUGGUGGAAAUAUGAAUUCUGCUAUGGCAAACAUGUACAUCAAUACCAUGAGGACAAGGAUAGUGGGAAAACCUCUGUGGUUGUGGGAACAUGGAACCAAGAAGAACAUAUUGAAUGGGCUAAGAAGAAUACUGCUAGAGCCUAUCACCUUCAAGAUGAUGGUACCCAGACAGUCAGGAUGGUGUCACAUUUUUAUGGGAAUGGAGAUAUAUGUGAUAUAACUGACAAACCAAGACAGGUGACUGUAAAACUAAAGUGUAAAGAAUCAGAUUCUCCUCAUGCUGUUACUGUAUAUAUGCUAGAGCCUCACUCCUGUCAGUAUAUCCUAGGGGUUGAAUCUCCAGUGAUCUGUAAAAUCUUAGAUACAGCAGAUGAAAAUGGACUUCUUUCUCUCCCCAACUAAAGGGGAGAACACACCGAGGGACUCAGCAAAAUGUCCUGUAAGAUGAGGGAAAUGACUGAUUUUGUCCUGCUUGCAGGAUCUUAGUUCCCCAACCAGGCAUCAAACCUGGGACCCUGCAGUGAAAGCGCCAAGUCCUAACUACUGGACCACUGGGGAAUUCCCAAGAAAAUUCAAUUUUCAGUCUCCAGCUCCAUGUACUUAAAACAUGCCAGUUCUGAGGGACUCUGAACUCAAAGAAAGUGUCUAACAUUAUGGUUCUCUGUGAAGAAUACAAUUCCCAGUCAUAUCUUUCCUCAGAGUAAUAUUAAUAAAAUCA